rnacentral:SRP_RNA from 1 species
GCUGGGCGUGGUGGCGCACGCCUGUAAUCCCAGUUACUCGGGAGGCUGAGGCAGGAGACUCGCUUGAACGUGGGAGGUGGAGGUUGCACUGAGCCGAGAUCAUGCCAUUACCCUCUAGCCGGGGCAACAAGAGCAAAACGCUGUCUUUAAAAAAAAAAAAAAAUGCCUGUUUUUCUUGUUGUUUGUUUGUUUAUUUAUUGAGAUGGAAUUUCAUUCUUGUCGCCCAGGCUGGAAUGCAGUGCACAAUCUCGGCUCACUGCAACCUCUGCCUCCCGGGUUCAAGUGAGUCUCCUGCCUCAG